AGCGUACACGGUGGAUGCCCUGGCAGUCAGAGGCGAUGAAGGACGUGCUAAUCUGCGAUAAGCGUCGGUAAGGUGAUAUGAACCGUUAUAACCGGCGAUUUCCGAAUGGGGAAACCCAGUGUGAUUCGUCACACUAUCAUUAACUGAAUCCAUAGGUUAAUGAGGCGAACCGGGGGAACUGAAACAUCUAAGUACCCCGAGGAAAAGAAAUCAACCGAGAUUCCCCCAGUAGCGGCGAGCGAACGGGGAGCAGCCCAGAGCCUGAAUCAGUGUGUGUGUUAGUGGAAGCGUCUGGAAAGGCGCGCGAUACAGGGUGACAGCCCCGUACACAAAAAUGCACAUGCUGUGAGCUCGAUGAGUAGGGCGGGACACGUGGUAUCCUGUCUGAAUAUGGGGGGACCAUCCUCCAAGGCUAAAUACUCCUGACUGACCGAUAGUGAACCAGUACCGUGAGGGAAAGGCGAAAAGAACCCCGGCGAGGGGAGUGAAAAAGAACCUGAAACCGUGUACGUACAAGCAGUGGGAGCACAGAGCAAUCUGUGUGACUGCGUACCUUUUGUAUAAUGGGUCAGCGACUUAUAUUCUGUAGCAAGGUUAACCGAAUAGGGGAGCCGAAGGGAAACCGAGUCUUAACUGGGCGUUAAGUUGCAGGGUAUAGACCCGAAACCCGGUGAUCUAGCCAUGGGCAGGUUGAAGGUUGGGUAACACUAACUGGAGGACCGAACCGACUAAUGUUGAAAAAUUAGCGGAUGACUUGUGGCUGGGGGUGAAAGGCCAAUCAAACCGGGAGAUAGCUGGUUCUCCCCGAAAGCUAUUUAGGUAGCGCCUCGUGAAUUCAUCUCCGGGGGUAGAGCACUGUUUCGGCAAGGGGGUCAUCCCGACUUACCAACCCGAUGCAAACUGCGAAUACCGGAGAAUGUUAUCACGGGAGACACACGGCGGGUGCUAACGUCCGUCGUGAAGAGGGAAACAACCCAGACCGCCAGCUAAGGUCCCAAAGUCAUGGUUAAGUGGGAAACGAUGUGGGAAGGCCCAGACAGCCAGGAUGUUGGCUUAGAAGCAGCCAUCAUUUAAAGAAAGCGUAAUAGCUCACUGGUCGAGUCGGCCUGCGCGGAAGAUGUAACGGGGCUAAACCAUGCACCGAAGCUGCGGCAGCGACGCUUAUGCGUUGUUGGGUAGGGGAGCGUUCUGUAAGCCUGCGAAGGUGUGCUGUGAGGCAUGCUGGAGGUAUCAGAAGUGCGAAUGCUGACAUAAGUAACGAUAAAGCGGGUGAAAAGCCCGCUCGCCGGAAGACCAAGGGUUCCUGUCCAACGUUAAUCGGGGCAGGGUGAGUCGACCCCUAAGGCGAGGCCGAAAGGCGUAGUCGAUGGGAAACAGGUUAAUAUUCCUGUACUUGGUGUUACUGCGAAGGGGGGACGGAGAAGGCUAUGUUGGCCGGGCGACGGUUGUCCCGGUUUAAGCGUGUAGGCUGGUUUUCCAGGCAAAUCCGGAAAAUCAAGGCUGAGGCGUGAUGACGAGGCACUACGGUGCUGAAGCAACAAAUGCCCUGCUUCCAGGAAAAGCCUCUAAGCAUCAGGUAACAUCAAAUCGUACCCCAAACCGACACAGGUGGUCAGGUAGAGAAUACCAAGGCGCUUGAGAGAACUCGGGUGAAGGAACUAGGCAAAAUGGUGCCGUAACUUCGGGAGAAGGCACGCUGAUAUGUAGGUGAAGUCCCUCGCGGAUGGAGCUGAAAUCAGUCGAAGAUACCAGCUGGCUGCAACUGUUUAUUAAAAACACAGCACUGUGCAAACACGAAAGUGGACGUAUACGGUGUGACGCCUGCCCGGUGCCGGAAGGUUAAUUGAUGGGGUCAGCGCAAGCGAAGCUCUUGAUCGAAGCCCCGGUAAACGGCGGCCGUAACUAUAACGGUCCUAAGGUAGCGAAAUUCCUUGUCGGGUAAGUUCCGACCUGCACGAAUGGCGUAAUGAUGGCCAGGCUGUCUCCACCCGAGACUCAGUGAAAUUGAACUCGCUGUGAAGAUGCAGUGUACCCGCGGCAAGACGGAAAGACCCCGUGAACCUUUACUAUAGCUUGACACUGAACAUUGAGCCUUGAUGUGUAGGAUAGGUGGGAGGCUUUGAAGUGUGGACGCCAGUCUGCAUGGAGCCGGCCUUGAAAUACCACCCUUUAAUGUUUGAUGUUCUAACGUUGACCCGUAAUCCGGGUUGCGGACAGUGUCUGGUGGGUAGUUUGACUGGGGCGGUCUCCUCCUAAAGAGUAACGGAGGAGCACGAAGGUUGGCUAAUCCUGGUCGGACAUCAGGAGGUUAGUGCAAUGGCAUAAGCCAGCUUGACUGCGAGCGUGACGGCGCGAGCAGGUGCGAAAGCAGGUCAUAGUGAUCCGGUGGUUCUGAAUGGAAGGGCCAUCGCUCAACGGAUAAAAGGUACUCCGGGGAUAACAGGCUGAUACCGCCCAAGAGUUCAUAUCGACGGCGGUGUUUGGCACCUCGAUGUCGGCUCAUCACAUCCUGGGGCUGAAGUAGGUCCCAAGGGUAUGGCUGUUCGCCAUUUAAAGUGGUACGCGAGCUGGGUUUAGAACGUCGUGAGACAGUUCGGUCCCUAUCUGCCGUGGGCGCUGGAGAACUGAGGGGGGCUGCUCCUAGUACGAGAGGACCGGAGUGGACGCAUCACUGGUGUUCGGGUUGUCAUGCCAAUGGCACUGCCCGGUAGCUAAAUGCGGAAGAGAUAAGUGCUGAAAGCAUCUAAGCACGAAACUUGCCCCGAGAUGAGUUCUCCCUGACUCCUUGA
rnacentral:rRNA from 1 species